rnacentral:rRNA from 1 species
CCUAGGGGAGGCAGCAGUGGGGAAUAUUGGACAAUGGGCGAAAGCCUGAUCCAGCCAUGCCGCGUGUGUGAAGAAGGCCUUCGGGUUGUAAAGCACUUUCAGUGGGGAAGAAAGCCUUGGGGCUAAUACCCUCGAGGAAGGACAUCACCCACAGAAGAAGCACCGGCUAACUCCGUGCCAGCAGCCGCGGUAAUACGGAGGGUGCGAGCGUUAAUCGGAAUUACUGGGCGUAAAGCGCGCGUAGGCGGUCUGAUAAGCCGGUUGUGAAAGCCCCGGGCUCAACCUGGGAACGGCAUCCGGAACUGUCAGGCUAGAGUGCAGGAGAGGAAGGUAGAAUUCCCGGUGUAGCGGUGAAAUGCGUAGAGAUCGGGAGGAAUACCAGUGGCGAAGGCGGCCUUCUGGACUGACACUGACGCUGAGGUGCGAAAGCGUGGGUAGCAAACAGGAUUAGAUACCCAGUAGUC